GGUUUGUGAUCUGGAUAAUGUCAACUGCAACAUCGGGCUCGGAGGUGUGUGUUGGAGAUUUUUCAUUGCUGUCAUAAUGGUGAUACCAUCAACUGGUUUAUUCCGAGAACAUACUCUGAUGACACCACACACCAAAGUCGCACCUUUUUCCAAAGAAAAGAAUCAGCCUGAACCCCUUGAGGUGUUUCUUAUCAGAGAGCUUGUCAACUUUGACUGGCAAAAUUACUAAAAUGUAACAACACACUUUCUUUUACUGUAUUUUAU